AGAGUUUGAUCCUGGCUCAGGAUGAACGCUAGCGGCAGGCUUAACACAUGCAAGUCGAGGGGCAGCGGGGAGGAAGCUUGCUUUCUCCGCCGGCGACCGGCGCACGGGUGAGUAACACGUAUGCAACCUGCCCCUGUCAGGGGGACAACCCGCCGAAAGGCGGGCUAAACCCGCGUACAUGCCACCGGGGCAUCCCGGAGGCAGGAAAGGCUUCGGCCGGACAGGGAUGGGCAUGCGGCGCAUUAGGCAGUAGGCGGGGUAACGGCCCACCUAACCGACGAUGCGUAGGGGUUCUGAGAGGAAGGUCCCCCACACUGGUACUGAGACACGGACCAGACUCCUACGGGAGGCAGCAGUGAGGAAUAUUGGUCAUUGGUCGGGAGACUGAACCAGCCAAGCCGCGUGAGGGAGGAAGGUACAGAGUAUCGUAAACCUCUUUUGUCAGGGAACAAAGGCGGGGACGUGUCCCCGGAUGAGUGUACCUGAAGAAAAAGCAUCGGCUAACUCCGUGCCAGCAGCCGCGGUAAUACGGAGGAUGCGAGCGUUAUCCGGAUUUAUUGGGUUUAAAGGGUGCGCAGGCGGUCUGUUAAGUCAGCGGUCAAAGCCCGGGGCUCAACCCCGGCCCGCCGUUGAAACUGGCAGUCUCGAGUUGGAGAGAAGUAUGCGGAAUGCGCGGUGUAGCGGUGAAAUGCAUAGAUAUCGCGCAGAACUCCGAUUGCGAAGGCAGCAUGCCGGCUCCACUCUGACGCUGAGGCACGAAAGCGUGGGUAUCGAACAGGAUUAGAUACCCUGGUAGUCCACGCAGUAAACGAUGAAUGCUGGCUGUCCGGGGGGAUUGACCCCUGGGUGGCGAAGCGAAAGCGAUAAGCAUUCCACCUGGGGAGUACGCCGGCAACGGUGAAACUCAAAGGAAUUGACGGGGGCCCGCACAAGCGGAGGAACAUGUGGUUUAAUUCGAUGAUACGCGAGGAACCUUACCCGGGCUCAAACGGGGAGUGACUCAGGCAGAGACGCCUGUUUCCCACGGGACACUCCCCGAGGUGCUGCAUGGUUGUCGUCAGCUCGUGCCGUGAGGUGUCGGCUUAAGUGCCAUAACGAGCGCAACCCCCGCGUGCAGUUGCUAACAGAUAACGCUGAGGACUCUGCACGGACUGCCGGCGCAAGCCGCGAGGAAGGCGGGGAUGACGUCAAAUCAGCACGGCCCUUACGUCCGGGGCGACACACGUGUUACAAUGGGUGGUACAGCGGGAAGCCAGGCGGCGACGCCGAGCGGAACCCGAAAUCCACUCUCAGUUCGGAUCGGAGUCUGCAACCCGACUCCGUGAAGCUGGAUUCGCUAGUAAUCGCGCAUCAGCCAUGGCGCGGUGAAUACGUUCCCGGGCCUUGCACUCACCGCCCGUCA
rnacentral:rRNA from 1 species